ACGGACGUCAGAGUGGGGUACUUGUGGAGUGUUGCACCGUCGAGCAUGCGCUCCAUCCCCUCUUCAUCCGAUUCUUCAGCGGACCCGCAUUCUAGCUCAGAGCUCAGACCAGUGCACAAAGUGUGGGUGUCUCUGCACCUUUCAGUGAAUUUUGAACCUCAAGCCAGUCUCGACAAACGACUCGAGAUUGGGUCUGGAUAUGUACAAACCAGCUGAAGUUUAAGAUGCUAAACGAUGUUAACGACGCUAUCCACGACAAUGAACGAUGUUGAACGCGCUGAAGAAAUUCCAUCAAGAAGGUAACAUUAUCUCUUUCAAUGAUCCGACGUCAACGGGCUAAACUGGAUUGAAUUACUUUUCGCAGAGUCUGUAACUUACAAAGUUAGCUUAUGCGCUUUAAUGGAUACUACAUGACGGAGAAGAAACGUGAAAUAGAUCUGGAAAGCUCAUUUCAAGGGUCGAUACACCCAAAAGGUCAAUUCUAAUUUCAGGACUUGCUUCUGUUCAACCCUCAAGGAGAAAACUUUAUGUGUUACAGACACGCCUGGAUCAUUGCCCAGCCUUACUUAUACUAGAUGAGCAAAGUUUCAGGUGUGUUUGUGGCAUACAACUGUCAACAAAAGGAGCAUUGCGAUGUGUCUCAGUUGCCUGCCAUGGGCAUCGAGUAGAGAGGAAUUCAUCGUUUUUAAUUACCUUCCAAAAUUAUCUUUCUCCUCCUCAUCAUGUUUCCACGCAUCGCCUGAUCCUUGCUUCAACCUCAUUAUGCCGAGCAAGGUGAGCAAAGUUUCAGGUGUGUGUGUGAGGAAUUCAAUUCAUCCUGAGAAACAUCAUUUCUUUCAAUUUACUUUAGGAUGUUUUACAUAAAGAAAUUGUUAUCAUCAUUAUAAAAUAAGUUUUUGUGAUCAUAUUCAUUUUAUUUUUGUACCGCCACUGAAAACUUUGGUAAUCUUAUGCACAUGUGUGCAAGCUCUUGGUUGAACUAGUUAUAAAAAUGUAUAGUACUUUUUUAUUUUCUUGUUGUAAAAAUGAUCAGAAUGUCAUUCAAGUUGUUUGUAAAAUAAAUACGCUAGUUAGAUAACCUCAUCUAUUACAGUCGUUUUUAAUAAUUUAAUUCUCAAAUGUACAUUAAAAAAAAAGGAAACUGUGAAAUUGUCAACUGCAAGUAAUAUUUUGUGUUUGUAUUAAAUUACAAUCAAAUGUCUCACAUCAUGUUUGUAUAUAUGUGAAUCUCACAUCCAACAAAAUUAUAUAUUUAUGAUAUUUAAUUUGUUAUAGUAUUUAUGAUAUUUUUGAUAUUCUGUGAGAAUUAAACAUUGAUAUUACCAACAUAAAAAAAAUAUCGUAUAAAAAUUGUACCUUGUAAAUAAUUUAUUUUAUGUGAAUGAUUUAUUACAAAACGAAAGCGUACUAUGAAAUGUUAUAUUCACUUUAUCAAUCCAGACACCUGUUGGUACGAUUAAAUAUUAA